rnacentral:rRNA from 1 species
UACGUAGGGGGCAAGCGUUGUCCGGAAUCAUUGGGCGUAAAGCGCGUGUAGGCGGCUUGGUAAGUCCGCUCUGAAAGCCCGGGGCUCAACCCCGGGAGGCGGGUGGAUACUGUCAAGCUCGAGUCCGGAAGAGGCGAGUGGAAUUCCUGGUGUAGCGGUGAAAUGCGCAGAUAUCAGGAAGAACACCCGUGGCGAAGGCGGCUCUCUGGAACGCAACUGACGCUGAGACGCGAAAGCGUGGGGAGCAAACAGG